rnacentral:rRNA from 1 species
GGCGAGUGGCGAACGGGUGAGUAAUGUAUCGGAACGUGCCCAGUAGCGGGGGACAACCACUCGAAAGAGUGGCUAAUACCGCAUACGCCCUACGGGGGAAAGGGGGGGAUCGCAAGACCUCUCACUAUUGGAGCGGCCGAUAUCGGAUUAGCUAGUUGGUGGGGUAAAGGCCUACCAAGGCGACGAUCCGUAGCUGGUUUGAGAGGACGACCAGCCACACUGGGACUGAGACACGGCCCAGACUCCUACGGGAGGCAGCAGUGGGGAAUUUUGGACAAUGGGGGAAACCCUGAUCCAGCCAUUCCGCGUGUGCGAUGAAGGCCUUCGGGUUGUAAAGCACUUUUGGCAGGAAAGAAAUCGCAUGGAUUAAUACUCUGUGCGGAUGACGGUACCUGCAGAAUAAGCACCGGCUAACUACGUGCCAGCAGCCGCGGUAAUACGUAGGGUGCAAGCGUUAAUCGGAAUUACUGGGCGUAAAGCGUGCGCAGGCGGUUCGGAAAGAAGGAUGUGAAAUCCCAGGGCUUAACCUUGGAACUGCAUUCUUAACUACCGGGCUAGAGUGUGUCAGAGGGAGGUGGAAUUCCGCGUGUAGCAGUG